rnacentral:rRNA from 1 species
UCAAUAAGCGGAGGAAAAGAAACUACCAAGGAUUCCCCUAGUAACGGCGAGUGAAGCGGGAAGAGCUCAAAUUUGUAAUCUGGCGGUCUCAGGCCGUCCGAGUUGUAGUCUGGAGAAGCGUUUUCCGUGCCGGACCGUGUACAAGUCCCUUGGAACAGGGCGUCGUAGAGGGUGAGAAUCCCGUCUCUGACACGGACCGCCGGUGCCAUGUGAUGCGCUCUCGAAGAGUCGAGUUGUUUGGGAAUGCAGCUCAAAAUGGGUGGUAAAUUCCAUCUAAAGCUAAAUAUUGGCGAAAGACCGAUAGCGAACAAGUACCGUGAGGGAAAGAUGAAAAGCACUUUGGAAAGAGAGUUAAACAGUACGUGAAAUUGUUGAAAGGGAAACGCUUGAAGUCAGUCGCGUCUUCCGAGACUCAACCGGGUGUCUUCAYCCGGUGCACUUCUCGGUGUGACGGGCCAGCAUCGAUUUCGACCGUCGGAGAAAGGCUCGGGGAAUGUGGCACCUCCGGGUGUGUUAUAGCCCCCUGUCGUAUGCGAGGGUCGGGAUCGAGGACCGCAGCACGCCCUUYACCGGGCCGGGGUUCGCCCACGUAACGUGCUUAGGAUGCUGGCGU